GCUCCGUUGGUGAACCAGCGGAGGGAUCAUUACAGAGUUGCAAAACUCCCAAACCAUUGUGAACGUUACCUAUCCCGUUGCUUCGGCGGGCGGCCCGGGCCCCGCGCCCGGCGCCCCCCGGCCCCCCGUGGGCGCCCGCCGGAGGUAAACCAAACCCUUGAAUUGCAUGGCCUCUCUGAGUCUUCUGCACUGAAUAAGUCAAAACUUUCAACAACGGAUCUCUUGGUUCUG
rnacentral:misc_RNA from 1 species